GACGAACGCUGGCGGCGUGCUUAACACAUGCAAGUCGAACGGAAAGGCCCUGCUUUUGUGGGGUGCUCGAGUGGCGAACGGGUGAGUAACACGUGAGUAACCUGCCCUUGACUUUGGGAUAACUUCAGGAAACUGGGGCUAAUACCGGAUAGGAGCUCCUGCUGCAUGGUGGGGGUUGGAAAGUUUCGGCGGUUGGGGAUGGACUCGCGGCUUAUCAGCUUGUUGGUGGGGUAGCGGCUUACCAAGGCUUUGACGGGUAGCCGGCCUGAGAGGGUGACCGGCCACAUUGGGACUGAGAUACGGACCAGACUCCUACGGGAGGCAGCAGUGGGGAAUAUUGCACAAUGGGCGGAAGCCUGAUGCAGCAACGCCGCGUGCGGGAUGACGGCCUUCGGGUUGUAAACCGCUUUCGCCUGUGACGAAGCGUGAGUGACGGUAAUGGGUAAAGAAGCACCGGCUAACUACGUG
rnacentral:rRNA from 1 species